CCAGUCGCUUCGCCUCAGGCCCCUGCCCUGGCCCAAGCGAGCCAGCCAUGGAGGGGGAUGUGCCCGCCGCUGCAGCCGCCUGCUACCAGCCGGCCAGCCCCCCGCGGGACGCCUGUGUCUACAACAGCUGCUACUGUGAAGAAAAUAUUUGGAAACUCUGUGAAUACAUCAAAAAUCAUGACCAGUAUCCUUUAGAAGAGUGUUAUGCUGUCUUCAUAUCUAAUGAGAGGAAGAUGAUACCUAUUUGGAAACAACAGGCAAGACCUGGAGAUGGACCUGUGAUCUGGGAUUACCAUGUUGUCCUGCUUCAUGUUUCAAGUGGAGGACAGAGCUUCAUUUAUGAUCUUGACACUGUGCUGCCAUUUCCCUGUCCUUUUGACACUUACGUGGAAGAUGCCUUUAAGUCUGAUGAGGACAUCCAUCCACAGUUCAGAAGGAAAUUUAGAGUGAUCCGUGCAGAUUCAUAUUUGAAGAACUUCGCUUCUGACCGAUCUCACAUGAAAGAUUCCAGUGGGAACUGGAGGGAACCUCCUCCUUCGUACCCCUGCAUUGAAACUGGAGUUGUUGUCUCUCAUUGGCCAAACCCAACCAGAAACUAAGGACAAGGGACCCUGGAUACUGCAGUCCUUGGGAGACAGCCCUGCAGACCGCAGAGAAGGGUAGAAAAUGGAGAAAGGGAAUCAUGGCAAUAACGUGGUACCUGCUUGUCACCUUCCUUCUCCAUCACCCAGGAAAGCCCACGGCCGAACUGAGUGUUUUGCAGAAUCAACCCAGCCCAUCCCAAAAUCUCCUCCAGGCCACUUCCACAGAAAACUGAUCGUCACUAAACAAAUGUCAUCUCACAGCUGACCCCCUGGGUAUGUUUUUACUUGUACUUUUGCCCCUCGCCCUCCCAUGCUACGAAUCCCGCUGCUCAAAGUAAUAACAUCAAGUAAUCAUGCACUCUAGUUGAAGAUGCCAUGGACUUUUUUCUAGAUCUUGCUAUGAAGUGAGCGCUCACCUAUUGUUUCCCUAAAUGUUGUGCCUUACUCUCAAAAGACUCCAGGCUUGUUGCUCGUAUACCCUUACUUUGGACCAGAUCACACCUAACAUCCCUGUGGACUUGUGCUCACGCACAGUGCUCUGGACUUCCUCCUUCCUUCUCCAGAAGUCGAAAGUACUUCCUAGCUGACAUCAAUGUCAAAAUCUACGUUACCGGGGUGGGGGGGGGUAGGGGCAGUGGCUAGGUAGGUACAGCAACAAGAGGGGAGCCUCCUAUCUCUUCCAGCAAUUUCCAUUUCCAUCGUCCUGUCCCUCUGGCUUUUAGACCAGCAGUUUUGAGAUGGGGAUUCUUUGUCUUUGUUUUUUAGGUUGGGUUGUCCCCAGAGGGUUUGCCAAUUCUAAAGAUGAUUAGUACCCAGGGAACGAUAAUUUUCUUUUUCAUUCACUUUACUUAUAUGUGAGGCUCUGGUUAUGCUAACAGCUACCAUGGGGCGCCAGCUCAGACGCUCUCACCUGCUAUGUUCUCCAUCACCUUCCCACGAACCACAGCAUCAGAGAGAGGCCAUUUCUAUUCCUUCCCCCAUCCCUCUCCACCUGCCAUUUCCUUUCUUAGUCUCGUCUGCCAAUGAAGGAGAACCAUCAAUGUUGGUUUCUUCUCUUUUUUCCUUAAAAAUUUUCCUCGGCUCUGUCACAUACCAUGUCCAAAAAUGCCAACAGAGAUGGGGAGAGCCCAGAGGCACCGUCAAGGGAAACAUCUCAGAAGACCAUCUCCCAGCCACUUGUGGUAGCGGUCACAGGCACGCCUUGCUGCCUAGGGUAGGAGACGCAGUCGCCGGCAUUGCAGACCGUCCAGAGGAGACUAGUCGGCCAGUUUUGUGCUGAUGGUCUCAAGCAGACAGCAUUUCUGGGGCUGCAAACCUAAGGGUGCCUGGGAGUUCUCACCUCCCUGAUCAGCAUGAAGGGGCAGAGGUCAUGAGUUGAUGGACAGAUGUGGAAGGCCAUGAAUGCCUACACCUAAAAAUGCCAGAGUCAAAGUUUCCAGAGAGAUCUCACAG